AGACUUUGAUUCUGGCUCAGGAUGAACGCUAGCGGCAGGCUUAACACAUGCAAGUCGAGGGGUAACGAUGGCUUCGGCCAGUCGACGACCGGCGCACGGGUGCGUAACGCGUAUGCAAUCUGCCUUUGACAGGGGAAUAGCCCCGAGAAAUCGGGAUUAAUGCCCCAUAAUAUCUGUUUAUGGCAUCAUAGAGAGAUCAAAGCUCCGGCGGUCAAAGAUGAGCAUGCGUCCCAUUAGUUAGUUGGUAAGGUAACGGCUUACCAAGGCAUCGAUGGGUAGGGGUUCUGAGAGGAUGAUCCCCCACACUGGUACUGAGACACGGACCAGACUCCUACGGGAGGCAGCAGUGAGGAAUAUUGGGCAAUGGACGCAAGUCUGACCCAGCCAUGCCGCGUGCCAGGAAGACGGCCCUAUGGGUUGUAAACUGCUUUUGUAUGGGAAGAACUACAGAUACGCGUAUUUGUUUGCCGGUACCAUACGAAUAAGCAUCGGCUAACUCCGUGCCAGCAGCCGCGGUAAUACGGAGGAUGCAAGCGUUAUCCGGAUUCUCAUUUGGGUUCU
rnacentral:rRNA from 1 species